AACGAACGCUGGCGGCAGGCCUAACACAUGCAAGUCGAACGCUCCAGCAAUGGAGAGUGGCAGACGGGUGAGUAACGCGUGGGAACCUUCCCUAUGGUUCGGAAUAGCCCAGGGAAACUUGGGGUAAUACCGAAUAAGCCCUUCGGGGGAAAGAUUUAUCGCCAUUGGAUGGGCCCGCGUCGGAUUAGCUAGUUGGUGGGGUAACGGCCUACCAAGGCGACGAUCCGUAGCUGGUCUGAGAGGAUGAUCAGCCACACUGGGACUGAGACACGGCCCAGACUCCUACGGGAGGCAGAAGUGGGGAAUAUUGGACAAUGGGCGCAAGCCUGAUCCAGCCAUGCCGCGUGAGUGACGAAGGCCUUAGGGUUGUAAAGCUCUUUUGGCGGGGAAGAUAAUGACGGUACCCGCAGAAUAAGCUCCGGCUAACUUCGUGCCAGCCGCCGCCGUAACAC
rnacentral:rRNA from 1 species